rnacentral:rRNA from 1 species
AUUGAACGCUGGCGGCAGGCUUAACACAUGCAAGUCGAACGAGUGGCGGACGGGUGAGUAAUGCUUGGGAAUCUAGCUUAUGGAGGGGGAUAACUACGGGAAACUGUAGCUAAUACCGCGUACCAUAGGAUGAGCCGAAGUGGGUGUAGGUAGUUGGUGAGGUAAAGGCUCACCAAGCCGACGAUCUCUAGCUGGUCUGAGAGGCUGACCAGCCACACUGGGACUGAGACACGGCCCAGACUCCUACGGGAGGCAGCAGUGGGGAAUAUUGCGCAAUGGGGGCAACCUGACGCAGCAAUGCCGCGUGAAUGAAGAAGGCCUUCGGGUUGUAAAGUUCUUUCGGUAGCGAGGCGUUAACUACAGAAGAAGCACCGGCUAACUCCGUGCCAGCAGCCGCGGUAAUUC